UACGGAGGGGGCGAGCGUUGUCCGAAGUUACUGGGCGUAAAGCGCGCGUAGGCGGGUUGGUAAGUCCGCUGUGAAAGUCCGGGGCUCAACUCCGGAUCUGCGGUGGGUACGGGCAGACUAGAGUGAUGUAGGGGAGACUGGAAUUCCUGGUGUAGCGGUGAAAUGCGCAGAUAUCAGGAGGAACACCGAUGGCGAAGGCAGGUCUCUGGGCAUUAACUGACGCUGAGGAGCGAAAGCAUGGGGAGCGAACAGG
rnacentral:rRNA from 1 species